GAGUUUGAUCCUGGCUCAGAUUGAACGCUGGCGGCAGGCCUAACACAUGCAAGUCGAGCGGAAACGAGUUAACUGAACCUUCGGGGAACGUUAACGGCGUCGAGCGGCGGACGGGUGAGUAAUGCCUGGGAAAUUGCCCUGAUGUGGGGGAUAACCAUUGGAAACGAUGGCUAAUACCGCAUAAUAGCUUCGGCUCAAAGAGGGGGACCUUCGGGCCUCUCGCGUCAGGAUAUGCCCAGGUGGGAUUAGCUAGUUGGUGAGGUAAUGGCUCACCAAGGCGACGAUCCCUAGCUGGUCUGAGAGGAUGAUCAGCCACACUGGAACUGAGACACGGUCCAGACUCCUACGGGAGGCAGCAGUGGGGAAUAUUGCACAAUGGGCGCAAGCCUGAUGCAGCCAUGCCGCGUGUAUGAAGAAGGCCUUCGGGUUGUAAAGUACUUUCAGCAGUGAGGAAGGUGGGUAUGUUAAUAGCAUACUCAUUUGACGUUAGCUGCAGAAGAAGCACCGGCUAACUCCGUGCCAGCAGCCGCGGUAAUACGGAGGGUGCGAGCGUUAAUCGGAAUUACUGGGCGUAAAGCGCAUGCAGGUGGUUUGUUAAGUCAGAUGUGAAAGCCCGGGGCUCAACCUCCGAAUUGCAUUUGAAACUGGGAAACUAGAGUACUGAAGAGGGGGGUAGAAUUU
rnacentral:rRNA from 1 species